GACGAACGCUGGCGGCGUGCCUAAUACAUGCAAGUUGAGCGCUGAAGGUUGGUACUUGUACCAACUGGAUGAGCAGCGAACGGGUGAGUAACGCGUGGGGAAUCUGCCUUUGAGCGGGGGACAACAUUUGGAAACGAAUGCUAAUACCGCAUAAAAACUUUAAACACAAGUUUUAAGUUUGAAAGAUGCAAUUGCAUCACUCAAAGAUGAUCCCGCGUUGUAUUAGCUAGUUGGUGAGGUAAAGGCUCACCAAGGCGAAGAUACAUAGCCGACCUGAGAGGGGGAUCGGCCACAUUGGGAAUGAGACACGGCCCAAACUCCUACGGGAGGCAGCAGUAGGGAAUCUUCGGCAAUGGACGAAGGUCUGACCGAGCAACGCCGCGGGAGUGAAGAAGGUUUUCGGAUCGUAAAACUCUGUUGGUAGAGAAGAACGUUGGUGAGAGUGGAAAGCUCAUCAAGUGACGGUAACUACCCAGAAAGGGACGGCUAACUACGUG
rnacentral:rRNA from 1 species